rnacentral:rRNA from 1 species
AGUGAACGCUGGCGGUAGGCCUAACACACGCAAGUCGAACGGCAGCACAGUAAGAGCUUGCUCUUACGGGUGGCGAGUGGCGGACGGGUGAGGAAUACAUCGGAAUCUACUUUUUCGUGGGGGAUAACGUAGGGAAACUUACGCUAAUACCGCAUACGACCUACGGGUGAAAGCAGGGGAUCUUCGGACCUUGCGCGAUUGAAUGAGCCGAUGUCGGAUUAGCUAGUUGGCGGGGUAAAGGCCCACCAAGGCGACGAUCCGUAGCUGGUCUGAGAGGAUGAUCAGCCACACUGGAACUGAGACACGGUCCAGACUCCUACGGGAGGCAGCAGUGGGGAAUAUUGGACAAUGGGCGCAAGCCUGAUCCAGCCAUACCGCGUGGGUGAAGAAGGCCUUCGGGUUGUAAAGCCCUUUUGUUGGGAAAGAAAAGCAGCGGGUUAAUACCCCGCUGUUCUGACGGUACCCAAAGAAUAAGCACCGGCUAACUUCGUG